AAUAUUGGACAAUGGGCGCAAGCCUGAUCCAGCCAUGCUGCGUGAGUGAUGAAGGCCUUAGGGUUGUAAAGCUCUUUCCGUGGGGAAGAUAAUGACCGUACCCACAGAAGAAGCCCCGGCUAACUUCGUGACAGCACCCGCGGUAAUACGAAGGGGGCUAGAGUUGUUCGGAUUUACUGGGCGUAAAGCGAACGUAGGCGAAUUGGUCAGUUAGGGGUGAAAUCCCAGAGCUCAACUCCGGAACUGCCUUUAAUACUGCCAGUAUAGAGACCGAGAGAGGUGAGUGGAACUCCUAGUGUAGAGGUGGAAUUCGUAGAUAUUAGGAAGAACACCAGUGGCGAAGGCGGCUCACUGGCUCGGUACUGACGCUGAGGUGCGAAAGCGUGGGGAGCAAAC
rnacentral:rRNA from 1 species